rfam:Ricinus communis cultivar Hale ctg_1100012360611, whole genome shotgun sequence.
AAACUGUAGUGUGGAUAACAUCUUAACCAGUCCUUGUACCUCUCCCAGGCAUCAUACAUGCUCUCGUCGUCCACCUGCACAAAAGAAGAAAUAUCAUUCCUUAAUUU